AUGCACAAUUCAUAAUUUGGCAUGGUCAUAAUGCAUCUUAUCUGGUUAACCGUAAAGAACAACAUCACAAGUUCUAUCAUUUUCCUUAAAUUAAGAUAAUUAUCAUUAUCACUAUUACCUUGUAACAUGUUAGGUUCUCAAAAAACAAAAUGUUAGGUUCUCAAAAAACAAAAUGUUAGGUUCUCAAAAACCCAAUUUAACUAUAACAGAACAUAAUGAGCUUUUAAACAUACACAUGACACAGAGCCUAGUGCAACUCAUGACAACAUGUGUCUGUGGCAUAACUAAUAGAAAAUUAAUAGAAAUAAGUAAGCUUGGAGAUAAUUC
rnacentral:lncRNA from 1 species